rnacentral:lncRNA from 13 species
AAUGUAAACACAUUGUAGUAGGAGUAUUUUAAUAAUGUCACAAUGUAGAACAUUGCUUGAUUUCAACAUGAUAUGGAUAUUGGCCUCAGAGGGAAAAUCCAGGCUCUGAAAUGGAAGAUUACUAUUUAUGUGAUUUAACAAAACCUGACUAACACAAAAAGAGCUGUGUUACACUUACCAUGUUGGUGACCCUCUUGAAUCAAAAUGCAACACUUCAAAAUGUAGCGAGCUGUUUUCUACAAAUUGUCCUCUAACCAGGGAUGUACACAUUCCCAGAUUCCGUGUGGUUUUUGAGCUGUUAGUUUUAACAGGACGUGCAACCUCAUCUCCCUCCUCUCGGCACAAUUGAUUUCAACGUGAUAUCGAUGAGUGAUGACAAAUAAGUGCAUCACUCCAAAAUGUAGCUGACUGUCUUCUGCAGGUUGUCCUCUAAUCAGUCGAUGUAAAAGAUAUCUCCCAUUUCCACGUGUUUUUUUAGAUGUUAGUUUCAACAGCAAGUACAAUCUGAUCUCCCCCCUAAUCGAUAUCAGUGAUUUAUUGCUACUUGUCAAAACAACAGCAUUUUUGGUGCUUGUGUCCAUGGUGAGGACAACUUAGUUUCUGAUUGUCUCAAGGUUGGGCAGUCAAAAAGAUUUGUGUUUUGUGUUUAGCCAGUGCGGUCCAUGGAUCACAAAUUAUUUUGACUUUCCGUAUUAGAGAUGAGUCAUGUUCCAAGGGGACGAGAGUUCUAGAAGCAAGUGAGUUUUAGGAAGGGAAAAAAUACACGUUUUUGUUCUUGUUUUUAAUUGUUGCCAGCGAGUAGACAUCAUGUUUAUAUUGGUGAAGCAUUGUAGUUGAUUAUAAUGUGAAAUGGAAGUUGUUUUCUGUUGGUGGUGCGCAUUCUUUUAAGGUGUUACAGUCUUUGGUUUUUGCAUUUAUGUUUUGAGGUUGGAAUUUAGCCCGUGUAGCUCGUUAGCACGUAGGACGCAUUGAUUGGUGUCACCUCGUUAGUCAGUAUGUGUUACACCUGUGCUGGCUUGUCCAUCUCGUUAGUGGGAAGGUGUUUACCCUGAGCUGGUCCAGGUUCUAUUUAAGAGUGUCUGGCCCAG